CCAGUAACGGCGAGUGAAGCGGCAACAGCUCAAAUUUGAAAUCUGGCCCCCGGGUCCGAGUUGUAAUUUGCAGAGGAUGCUUCGGGCGAGGUGCCUUCCGAGUUCCCUGGAACGGGACGCCACAGAGGGUGAGAGCCCCGUCUGGUCGGACACCGAGCCCGUGUGAAGCUCCUUCGAAGAGUCGAGUAGUUUGGGAAUGCUGCUCAAAAUGGGAGGUAUAUGUCUUCUAAAGCUAAAUAUUGGCCAGAGACCGAUAGCGCACAAGUAGAGUGAUCGAAAGAUGAAAAGCACUUUGAAAAGAGGGUUAAAAAGUACGUGAAAUUGUUGAAAGGGAAGCGCCCAUGACCAGACUUGGGCCCGGUGAAUCACCCGGCGUUCUCGCCGGUGCACUUUGCCGGGCACAGGCCAGCAUCAGUUUGGCGCGGGGGACAAAGGCUUCGGGAACGUGGCUCCCUCGGGAGUGUUAUAGCCCGCUGCGUAAUACCCUGCGCCGGACUGAGGUACGCGCAUCGCAAGGAUGCUGGCGUAAUGGUCAUCAGCGACCCGUCUUGAAACACGGACCAAGGAGUCGUCUUCGUAUGCGAGUGUUCGGGUGUCAAACCCCUACGCGGAAUGAAAGUGAACGCAGGUGAGAGCUUCGGCGCAUCAUCGACCGAUCCUGAUGUUCUCGGAUGGAUUUGAGUAAGAGCAUACGGGGCCGGACCCGAAAGAAGGUGAACUAUGCCUGUAUAGGGUGAAGCCAGAGGAAACUCUGGUGGAAGCUCGCAGCGGUUCUGACGUGCGAAUCGAUCGUCAAAUAUGGGCAUGGGGGCGAAAGACUAAUCGAACCUUCUAGUAGCUGGUUUC
rnacentral:rRNA from 1 species